GAGGGAAGAGCGUGACGAUGGUGCUAGCGCAGACACAGAGGAAGAGGUGGUUGUGGCGCUGCCCGGUAGAGAUGUGGUCGGUGCGCGCGGGUCAGAGGACGGAAGAGCUCAUGUCCAUUAUCAUCCACUCUAUGUUCCGCGGUGGUCGCGCUCCAUCCGGCGUUUGCCCUCCAUCCACUCUUUCCUCCAUCAUGAUUUUGUGAUAGGGGCGGUGGCCAUCGGAUUUGCGGGCGAUGCGACUAGAGGAUGUAAUCAAGCAGAUGGCUAGAGUGGAAUCGAAGAGGACCUCACGGCGAGUCUGUAGAGGCGCUCACCAGGAUCAGGGAGGCUCUGCAGUGGCCGAAUCAGUCGGAGGCGAUCGUCGGGCAGAGGGGCGAAGUCGUGGUCGAUGGCGUCGUCUCGGCGCUCUCUGCUCGAAUCCUUGUGCGGAGAGACGCUGCAAGGCCUGUCGAAGCUUCUGUACACGAAGGCGCGGGGAUUCUUCGCCGGUGGCCACGCGGACAAUCAACGGCGGCUAGGGCUGUGCGCUCGGGCAAGCUCGAAACCGAGCGCUAGAAGAGAGGGAGAGAGCUCCAGAGCGAUGGGAAAGUGAGAGGGGGUUCAGGGCAUCUCCCAGGCGAGCUGAUGGGGAUGAGGACGCGGGAGACAACGCUAAGCAAGAGGUGGCUGCAGGAUGAGCGCGCGCUCGACAGGCCUCUUCCUACUGGCAGAGAUUCAAGACGACCUGGCCGUGGGAUGGCUGGGCCUCAGGUAUACUAAUUUGGAGAGGACAUAUGAAGAUGUUGUUUUCAUUUCUUCUAAUUAUGGAAUGGUUGCAAUUUUGAGUACCUUCUCAAAGUAUGCUACUGAAUCUAUCUAUUGUAAUGGAACGGAAUAGGAGGUAUUUCCAAGUCAAACAAUCACGCGAGGGAGUGGUAAAACAAGGAUGGACGCAUGGCAUGGUGAACUGCUUGCUUGAGGGACGACUGCCACCAUUGAUGGAAGGAUUGCCACAUAGGCAUGGAAGCCUUGAAACAGGGAAAACUACUUUCAGAUGUUGAAGAACUUCGAGAGCAUCCGUACUCACCAAAAACCAUAUCAAAAUUAUUCAGUACAUCAUCUCAGUAUGGAAUGUCAUCUUAAAAGAUGGAACUAUAUCUUUUUUGGACGACAGUAUAGGGGAACUAGAACAUGCGGAAGCGGCCGUGAACAUAGAUGCACAGUACUACAAGGAAGAAACAAAGGUGUACACAAGAAGGGAGAUCUCACCCAGGUCUCCAAGCUAUUGACCCGAUAUGAAGCGCGGGCAGCCGGGCUGGACUGGAGGUUUGUGCACUGGCGGAGCUAAAGCAAGGCUUAAUGGGGCGUGGUUUGCCCAGCCCAAGGUAUUUUGUACACUAUGCAUUUAGUCCUAGGCCUUUAAAUAAUAGCCCAUAAGAUAUUUUCUUUUGGUUGGCCCGCCAGCUUUGGGCUGCAGGGUCCGCCACUGGGUUUGUGAAUAACCUGUAAAACUUAUUGAUUUUAAUUCGCUUGGUAUAGGUCAUUGGGUGUACUAGCAGUCUAUAGAGAGCUUGUUCUAAGGAUAUACUCUCUCCAUCCUCGAAAGAGUGUACUUCCAACUUUGUUGGAAAGUCAAACUUUUUUUA